AUUGAACGCUGGCGGCAGGCCUAACACAUGCAAGUCGAACGAGUGGCGGACGGGUGAGGAAUGUCUUAGAAACUGCCUGAUGGACGGGGAUAACUACUGGCAACGGUAGCUAAUACCGCAUACCCUCAGAUGUGCCCAGAUUGGAUUAGCUUGUUGGUGGGGUAACGGCUGCCCAAGGCGACGAUCCCUAGCUGGUCUGCGAGGAUGACCAGCCACACUGGAACUGAGAAACGGUCCAGACGCCUACGGGAGGCAGCAGUGGGGAAUAUUGCACAAUGGGCGCAAGCCUGAUGCAGCAAUGCCGCGUGUAUGAAGAAGGCCUUCGGGUGGUAAAGUACUUUCAGCGGGGAGGCGUUACCCGAAGAAGAAGCACCGGCUAACUCCGUGCCAGCCGCCGCGGUAAUAC
rnacentral:rRNA from 1 species